rnacentral:rRNA from 1 species
GACGAACGCUGGCGGCGUGCUUAACACAUGCAAGUCGAACGGAAAGGCCCUGCUUUUGUGGGGUGCUCGAGUGGCGAACGGGUGAGUAACACGUGAGUAACCUGCCCUUGACUUUGGGAUAACUUCAGGAAACUGGGGCUAAUACCGGAUAGGAGCUCCUGCUGCAUGGUGGGGGUUGGAAAGUUUCGGCGGUUGGGGAUAGACUCGCGGCUUAUCAGCUUGUUGGUGGGGUAGUGGCUUACCAAGGCUUUGACGGGUAGCCGGCCUGAGAGGGUGACCGGCCACAUUGGGACUGAGAUACGGCCCAGACUCCUACGGGGGGCAGCAGUGGGGAAUAUUGCACAAUGGGCGGAAGCCUGAUGCAGCAACGCCGCGUGCGGGAUGACGGCCUUCGGGUUGUAAACCGCUUUCGCCUGUGACGAAGCGUGAGUGACGGUAAUGGGUAAAGAAGCACCGGCUAACUACGUG